rnacentral:rRNA from 1 species
CAGUCGCCGCGGGAAUACGGAGGAUCCAAGCGUUAUCCGGAAUCAUUGGGUUUAAAGGGUCCGUAGGCGGUCUUGUAAGUCAGUGGUGAAAGCCCAUCGCUCAACGGUGGAACGGCCAUUGAUACUGCAGGACUUGAAUUAUUGGGAAGUAACUAGAAUAUGUAGUGUAGCGGUGAAAUGCUUAGAGAUUACAUGGAAUACCAAUUGCGAAGGCAGGUUACUACCAAUUGAUUGACGCUGAUGGACGAAAGCGUGGGUAGCGAACAGGAUUAGAUAACCCUGUAGUCCCUGUCUCUUAUAA